rnacentral:lncRNA from 1 species
CUGAAGAAAGAUUUACUAAUUAGAGUUGUCCCAAUAUGGAUGGAUUGUGCCUCUCAGUUGUCAAUGAUGUUAUUGGAAAGAUUGAAAUUAGAAUGCUGGGAGAAGAGACCCUGGCUUCUGUGAAAGCUAGGCUGUCCCCAAACUUGCAGUGAUCUUCUGGCUUCUACCGCCCAAGUGUUGGAAUUACAGAUGUACAAUAUCAUGCCUAGCUUGACACAGGAAAUCCCAAACACACGCAGAAGGUAUCUUAAGAGUAUUUGACGAAAAGAUUUGACUUAAAAUUGGAACAUAAGUGUUAAAUUGUUACUCACUACAGUGGAGGACAGAAGACAAGGAAGGAUGUUGGAUGAAGAAAUAGAGAAGGCAGACAAACUGGAUAACCAGAGCCUUGAUAUCUUUUCCUAAACGACAAGCCCAAGUUUGCUGGCUGAGAAAGAUGGACAGAUGUGAACAAAAUAAAAAAGGAGCAUUACUUCUGGUGUGGGAAGUUGUAUUGGUUUAGUUUUCUGUCAUCUUGAGACAAACUAGA